rnacentral:lncRNA from 1 species
UCUAUUCUAGCUGGUUACGGGCACAAGUCUCAAUAAUAGCUUAAUGGCCAACCAAAUCUACACCGCGGCGUAUAAUAACUUAAGGUUUAAUUAAACCCAAGUUCUCGAAUCAUCAAUCAAAAUCAGAAACAACACCCAACGCAGCAAAUCAGUCGAUGAAUCUAUACUUUAAGAUUAGAUCAAAAACAAAAUAACAUAACAACAGAAAAAAAAAACGAUUCAUAGAUCUAAAACGUUUUCAAAACGCGGCAAAUUAGUCGAUGAAUCUAUACUUUAAGAUUAGAUCAAAAACAAAAUAAUAUAACAACAGAAAAAAAAAAAAAAAAACGAUUCAUAGAUCUAAAACGUUUUCACAACAAAAACGCACAUCUCAAUCUCCGAUCAACCAAAUCCACCGAAAGGAAAGGAUAAAAACAAUAAAAACCGAAGAGAGAGAAAAUAAACAAAUAAUAUACAAAGGAAUAACAGAUCGACAAAGAAUCAAAAGAAACUUACCUUAGAACGUAAAGAGAAGAAGAGGCUGGAGAAGGAUUGGUCUCAACUGUGCGUGAGGUGAGAGAGACUGUGAAAGAUUAAGGGGAGAGCAACGCUUUUAUAUUGAGCGACGUGAAAGGAUAAAAACAAUAAAAACCGGAAGAGAGAGAAAAUAAACAAAUAAUCUACAAAGGAAUAACAGAGAAUCAAUUAAGAUAGAAAUAGAGAUCGACAAAGAAUCGAAAGAAAGUUACCUUGGAACGUAAAGAGAAGAAGAGGCUGGAGAAGGAUUGGUCUCAACUAUGCGUGAGGUGAGAGAGAUUGUGAAACAUUAAGGGGAGAGCAACGCUUUUAUAUUGAGCGACGAGGUAGAGAGAGAAUAGGUUUUCUAGGGCAAACUCGGCCCCUUGAUUUUUUCUAUAUUUUUUCCUUAUUUUCUCAAACCG